rnacentral:rRNA from 1 species
AACGAACGCUGGCGGCAUGCCUAACACAUGCAAGUCGAACGAAGCCUUCGGGCUUAGUGGCGCACGGGUGCGUAACGCGUGGGAACCUACCAUCAGGUUCGGAAUAACCGUUAGAAAUGACUGCUAAUACCGGAUAAUGUCUUCGGACCAAAGAUUUAUCGCCUUUUGAUGGGCCCGCGUUGGAUUAGCUAGUUGGUGGGGUAAAGGCCUACCAAGGCGACGAUCCAUAGCUGGUCUGAGAGGAUGAUCAGCAACACUGGGACUGAGACACGGCCCAGACUCCUACGGGAGGCAGCAGUGGGGAAUAUUGGACAAUGGGCGAAAGCCUGAUCCAGCAAUGCCGCGUGAGUGAUGAAGGCCUUAGGGUUGUAAAGCUCUUUUACCAGGGAUGAUAAUGACAGUACCUGGAGAAUAAGCUCCGGCUAACUCCGUGCCAGCCGCCGCCGUAAGAC